UUGUUUCAGAAAAUAUCCAUUCUUCACAUUCAGACGUUAAUCCCCAGACACAUAUCUAAUCAGACAUCGAUUCGGAAGUUACUGCCGGAAGAUUAUGGUUAGCCUGCAAACAUCGCAUCUAAUGCAACGAAUUCCUUAAUCGUGUGACAAGGAGCGAUAAUCCCAUCCACGCUUUUUAGCAGAUCGAAAUGAAUUUGCAGUUCCAUCGCUAGCUCGAUCAGAAACCUGCAUUGUUAGAGGAUAAAAUUUCUCCGUUUGGGCAAGGGCCAUGGCAGGUGCCAGGCGACAGGAACUUAUGCCGGAUAAACAUAUGA